rnacentral:rRNA from 1 species
CCUACGGGCGGCAGCAGUGGGGAAUAUUGGACAAUGGGCGAAAGCCUGAUCCAGCCAUGCCGCGUGUGUGAAGAAGGCCUUCGGGUUGUAAAGCACUUUCAGUGGGGAAGAAAGCCUUGGGGCUAAUACCCUCGAGGAAGGACAUCACCCACAGAAGAAGCACCGGCUAACUCCGUGCCAGCAGCCGCGGUAAUACGGAGGGUGCGAGCGUUAAUCGGAAUUACUGGGCGUAAAGCGCGCGUAGGCGGUCUGAUAAGCCGGUUGUGAAAGCCCCGGGCUCAACCUGGGAACGGCAUCCGGAACUGUCAGGCUAGAGUGCAGGAGAGGAAGGUAGAAUUCCCGGUGUAGCGGUGAAAUGCGUAGAGAUCGGGAGGAAUACCAGUGGCGAAGGCGGCCUUCUGGACUGACACCGACGCUGAGGUGCGAAAGCGUGGGUAGCAAACAGGAUUAGAUACCCGAGUAGUC